rnacentral:rRNA from 1 species
GGACGAACGCUGGCGGCGUGCUUAACACAUGCAAGUGGAGCGACGAACCGGGGCUUGCCCCGGGGCAGAGCCGCGAACGGGUGAGUAACACGUGGGUAACCUGCCUCAAUGAUUGGGACAACCCGGGGAAACUCGGGCUAAUACCAAAUGUGUUCACUCCUUUUAAGGGGAGUGAGGAAAGGAAGCUUCGGCCUCCGCAUUGAGAUGGGCCCGCGGCCCAUUAGCUUGUUGGUGAGGUAACGGCUCACCAAGGCUUCGAUGGGUAGCUGGUCUGAGAGGACGAUCAGCCACACUGGGACUGAGACACGGCCCAGACUCCUACGGGAGGCAGCAGUGGGGAAUCUUGCACAAUGCGCGAAAGCGUGAUGCAGCGACGCCGCGUGGGGGAAGACGGCCUUCGGGUUGUAAACCCCUUUCAGUUGGGACGAAGCUUCGCCGGUGAAUAGCCGGUUGGAGUGACGGUACCUUCAGAAGAAGCCCCGGCUAACUACGUG